rnacentral:rRNA from 1 species
AUGGCCUCAUCAGUCUCGGAGAAGGUGCGGAAAAGUAAGAGGGGAACUAAGAGGGGUGGCGAUGAUCUCGCAAGCAGAUCGGAUGAGAGGGAUGGUGAUCUUCUCCCAAUAUCACAUAAGAGUACAAUAGUUCGCGAUGUAUACACAUAUGCUCGCUGCAAGGAACAGUUUGGGGAUCUAGAGUCCAUGGGUUACCCUGAGCCACCAAUAACCAUGCCAGAUGAUGAUAUGCUUUUGGUUAAUACUUUCAAGGAGACUUUUGGCGACACAUACCCUGAAGGUGAUUGGCGUGAAUUCAGUAAAAAGGGCUCUUCCAACAUAGAUCGCUAUGUUGUCGCGCUUGCUUCAUUCAGUGGAGAGAAAAGGCAUUUUGCAUGCUCAGGUUUUUUCAUCGAAUGGAAUGGAUCUAUGGUUAUUCUGACAUCGGCGAGCUUGGUCAGGAGUUCAAGCAAUGAGAAUAAGAUUGAUGAAAACUUGAGGAUCGAAGUGUUGCUUCCCAGGAAACGGCGCAUAAAGGGCACGCUACAGCACUAG